AUUGAACGCUGGCGGCAUGCCUUACACAUGCAAGUCGAACGGCAGCACGGGUGCUUGCACCUGGUGGCGAGUGGCGAACGGGUGAGUAAUAUAUCGGAACGUACCUUAUUGUGGGGGAUAACGCAGCGAAAGCUGUGCUAAUACCGCAUAAUCCCUUAGGGGGAAAGCGGGGGACCGUAAGGCCUCGCGCAAUUAGAGCGGCCGAUACCUGAUUAGCUAGUUGGUGAGGUAAAGGCUCACCAAGGCAACGAUCAGUAGCUGGUCUGAGAGGACGAUCAGCCACACUGGGACUGAGACACGGCCCAGACUCCUACGGGAGGCAGCAGUGGGGAAUUUUGGACAAUGGGGGCAACCCUGAUCCAGCAAUGCCGCGUGAGUGAAGAAGGCCUUCGGGUUGUAAAGCUCUUUUGUCAGGGAAGAAACAGCAGCUCUAACACAGUCUGCGAAUGACGGUACC
rnacentral:rRNA from 13 species